AUGUGUUUGUGUAUUUGUAUGCAUGUGUGUGUUUGUAUGUGUGCGUGCGUUUGUGUGUAUAUGUGUGUGUGUUUGUAUAUGUGUUUGUGUGUGUGUAUUUGUAUGCGUGUGUGUGUUUGGGUGUGUGUUUGUAUGUGUGCGGGUGUUUGUGUGUGUAUGUGUGUGUGUGUUUGUAGAUGUGUUUGUAUGCGUGUGUGUGUUUGUGUGUGUGCGUGUAUUUGUGUGUGUGCGUAUGUUUGUAUAUGUGCGUGUAUUUGUGUGUGUUUGUAUGCAUGUGUGUGUUUGUAUGUGUGCGUGUGUUUGUGUGUGUGUAUGCAUGUGUGUGUUUGUAUGUGUUCGUGUGUGUAUGUGUGUUUGUGUGUGUUUGUGAGUGUGUGUGUAUUUGUAUGUGUGCGUGUGUGUGCGUUUGUAUGUGUGCGUGUGUUUGUGUGUGUGUUUGUAUGCGUGUGUGUGUUUGUAUGUGUGCGUGUGUUUGUGUGUGUGUGUUUGUAUGCAUGUGUGUGUUUGUAUGUGUUCGUGUGUGUAUGUGUGUUUGUGUGUGUGUGUGCGUUUGUAUGUGUGCGUGUGUUUGUGUGUGUGUUUGUAUGCGUGUGUGUAUUUGUAUGUGUGCGUGUGUUUGUGUGUGUUUGUAUGCGUGUGUGUAUUUGUAUGUGUUCGUGUGUGUGUGUUUGUAGAUAUGUUUGUAUGCAUGUGUGUGUUUGUAUGUGUUCGUGUGUGUAUGUGUGUUUGUGUGUGUGUGUGUGUAUUUGUAUGUGUGCGUGUGUGUGCGUUUGUAUGUGUGCGUGUGUUUGUGUUUGUAUGCGUGUGUGUAUUUGUAUGUGUUCGUGUGUGUGUGUUUGUAGAUAUGUUUGUAUGCAUGUGUGUGUGUGUGUGUGUGUGUGUGAGUGUGUGUGUGUUUGUGCGCGAGUGCGUGUGUGCGCGUGCGCGUGUUGUAUAGUGUGGCGCGCGCUGCGCGUAACCAUGACGCGCCUCUGCGUGUUUGAGAAACCGGCGGUGAGUAAACAGGACUUCAGGACUUUCGGACGCUCCAGACUUCACUUCCAGCCGAUGUUGCGCGUCGGCGGAACAGUUUGA
rnacentral:lncRNA from 1 species